AUUGAACGCUGGCGGCAGGCUUAACACAUGCAAGUCGAGCGGAGAUGAGGUGCUUGCACCUUAUCUUAGCGGCGGACGGGUGAGUAAUGCUUAGGAAUCUGCCUAUUAGUGGGGGACAACAUUCCGAAAGGAAUGCUAAUACCGCAUACGUCCUACGGGAGAAAGCAGGGGAUCUUCGGACCUUGCGCGAAUAGAUGAGCCUAAGUCGGAUUAGCUAGUUGGUGGGGUAAGGGCCUACCAAGGCGACGAUCUGUAGCGGGUCUGAGAGGAUGAUCCGCCACACUGGGACUGAGACACGGCCCAGACUCCUACGGGAGGCAGCAGUGGGGAAUAUUGGACAAUGGGGGGAACCCUGAUCCAGCCAUGCCGCGUGUGUGAAGAAGGCCUUAUGGUUGUAAAGCACUUUAAGCGAGGAGGAGGCUACUGAGACUAAUACUCUUGGAUAGUGGACGUUACUCGCAGAAUAAGCACCGGCUAACUCUGUGCCAGCAGCCGCGGUAACAC
rnacentral:rRNA from 1 species